ACACAUGCAAGUCGAGCGGGGAANGNGUAGCUUGCUACUUUACCUAGCGGCGGACGGGUGAGUNAUGCUUAGGAAUCUGCCUAUUAGUGGGGGACAACAUCUCGAAAGGGAUGCUAAUACCGCAUACGUCCUACGGGAGAAAGCAGGGGACCUUCGGGCCUUGCGCUAAUAGAUGAGCCUAAGUCGGAUUAGCUAGUUGGUGGGGUAAAGGCCUACCAAGGCGACGAUCUGUAGCGGGUCUGAGAGGAUGAUCCGCCACACUGGGACUGAGACACGGCCCAGACUCCUACGGGAGGCAGCAGUGGGGAAUAUUGGACAAUGGGGGGAACCCUGAUCCAGCCAUGCCGCGUGUGUGAAGAAGGCCUUUUGGUUGUAAAGCACUUUAAGCGAGGAGGAGGCUACCGAGAUUAAUACUCUUGGAUAGUGGACGUUACUCGCAGAAUAAGCACCGGCUAACUCUGUGCCAGCAGCCGCGGUAAUACAGAGGGUGCAAGCGUUAAUCGGAUUUACUGGGCGUA
rnacentral:rRNA from 1 species